ACGUACACUCCUACGGGAGGCAGCAGUGGGGAAUAUUGGACAAUGGGCGCAAGCCUGAUCCAGCCAUGCCGCGUGAGUGAUGAAGGCCCUAGGGUUGUAAAGCUCUUUCACCGGUGAAGAUAAUGACGGUAACCGGAGAAGAAGCCCCGGCUAACCUCGUGCCAGCAGCCGCGGUAAUACGAAGGGGGCUAGCGUUGUUCGGAUUUACUGGGCGUAAAGCGCACGUAGGCGGACUAUUAAGUCAGGGGUGAAAUCCCGGGGCUCAACCCCGGAACUGCCUUUGAUACUGGUAGUCUUGAGUUCGAGAGAGGUGAGUGGAAUUCCGAGUGUAGAGGUGAAAUUCGUAGAUAUUCGGAGGAACACCAGUGGCGAAGGCGGCUCACUGGCUCGAUACUGACGCUGAGGUGCGAAAGCGUGGGGAGCAAACAGGAUUAGAUACCCCAGUAGUCCCAUGA
rnacentral:rRNA from 1 species